ensembl:lncRNA
UGUGUGUGUGUGUGUCAAUUUACGCAACCCUGAGUUGCCCCACGAGGACUUGGCAGCAAAAGAAGUACAAAAAUAUAGUUUAAACAGCAAAUCGAAAAAAUGCAGAGGCCCGGCAGACUGGAGGGGGUCCACCACCGCUGCAGCCCUCACAGAGGCUGAGGAGAUGGCCCUCAGCCAACAGAGUAUGCGCCUGUGGCUGAGGGCAUCCCUGGGGGGAGCUCCUCUGAUCCCCCCACCCCCCAGGAUAGAAGUGCCUUUACAGUAUAAGAGUUACUGAUGGCGUCAUCGCCCUACUUGAACCAGAUGCCCUCACCAACCUCCAUGCAAUUGUAACAAUUCAAAAGAUGCAAAAGGAUGCUUUGGAGAUCCAAAUUUUGGAACAUAAGUUAUAGGUGGGUGAGGUGCAAACUGGGAUAGGCUACUGUUCCCUGCUCUAAAAACAUACCCAAUAUAAAUGACUUCUUUUUUUUUGUGCUUUCAGGAAAUUUUGUUGAACAGUUUACUCAAAG